GUUAUAUCGACCAACAUCCACAUUUGGAAUUUCCGGCACAGGCUCAGGUAACCGCUACUAUUGAUAUCCGUUGGUUCAUAGUAAACCGGCUGAAAACGGUCCGGAUUUGUGCUGAUGUUCCACAUCCUGGACGGGGUCAAGUUCUUUCCCAAGGACCGAUAGGACUGACACAAAUUGUACGAGAAGAAAAUGACCAAGAAGCAGCGUAAGGAUCGCGAGAGGUUCACGAUGGACUGGGUAAAGUUCGAUCCCAAGAACCGACACGGAUACCAAAAAGGCCAAUGUCGGAUAGCCGAUUCGAUAUGCUCGCUAAUAACUAGCACCACUCUUCAAAAGUUGGUUGAUUGGAGGUCGAACAAAAAUGAAUGCUACGCCGGUGCGAAUUCCGAAUCUGGAUCUAUCUCUCGACGCUUCGCGAAUCCAAUCAUACGAACGUGAUCAAUUUGAUAGAGGUAUUCUUGCCCCACACAGAUAGGAAUCUCAUCUUGUUGACUACGCCGAACUCAAUUUGUGGCGAAAAAGCGACAUCAAGAUCACCAGAAACCUGUUGUGUUUGGAAGCCUGCUUUAUCAGAUUCUGGAUAGGUAUUCGAAAUCUACAAAUAUUUGGUCAACGAGUGAGGUUGGGUCGGAAGGAUGGCAAUGCUUAGACAAAUUAAUACAGUUUUGGUCACUUUUUUUGGACGAGCAAUCCAAUUGCUUUUUGGAUCUCUUCACAACACUGAAAUACUUAUUUGGGCCAUCGGUUGUAUUUUUGUAGAGCUGCUCACAUUAGAACCCAUUAUCAACCGUCAGGAAGACAUCAAAUAAGCCAUUAUUAAUCAUCACAAUCUGCUUUGUAGGAUCUUAAACAUGCGGAGCACUUAUGUUUCCAAUAAGUCGCUUGGAGUGUCACAAGAUAAAAAACUGCCACUAAGAUUGCUCAGGUACAUUUAGAAGCAAGCAAAACUCAAGAAAAAAUCAAACAUUGAAUAAUAGCUUCAAUCUGGGGCAAGUGAAAAAAAAAGCUGUGUAGGAUUUAAAUAAUAGUAACUG